rnacentral:rRNA from 1 species
AGAUUGAACGCUGGCGGCAUGCCUUACACAUGCAAGUCGAACGGCAGCACGGGGGCAAUCCUGGUGGCGAGUGGCGAACGGGUGAGUAAUACAUCGGAACGUGCCCAGUAGUGGGGGAUAACCCGGCGAAAGCCGGACUAAUACCGCAUACGGCCUACGGGUGAAAGCAGGGGAUCGCAAGACCUUGCGUUAUUGGAGCGGCCGAUGUCAGAUUAGCUUGUUGGCGGGGUAAAAGCCCACCAAGGCGACGAUCUGUAGCUGGUCUGAGAGGACGACCAGCCACACUGGGACUGAGACACGGCCCAGACUCCUACGGGAGGCAGCAGUGGGGAAUUUUGGACAAUGGGGGCAACCCUGAUCCAGCAAUGCCGCGUGGGUGAAGAAGGUCUUCGGAUUGUAAAGCCCUUUCGACGGGGACGAUGAUGACGGUACCCGUAGAAGAAGCCCGGCUAACUUCGUGCCAGCAGCCGC